rnacentral:rRNA from 1 species
UACAGGGGGUGCAAACGUUGCUCGGAAUCAUUGGGCGUAAAGCGCACGUAGGCGGUUCGUUAUGUCGGAUGUGAAAGCCCUUGGCUUAACCGAGGAAGUGCAUCCGAAACUGGCGAGCUAGAGUACGAAAGAGGAUCGCGGAAUUCCCGGUGUAGAGGUGAAAUUCGUAGAUAUUGGGAAGAACACCGGUGGCGAAGGCGGCUCACUGGCCCGUUACUGACGCUCAGGCGCGACAGCGUGGGGAUCAAACAGG